GUCCUGCUGCCAGACACUCCCUCCAGCACCUCUCUCUCCUACCCACCUCGUGAGCCAGUGACUCAGUGCCAUGGUGAGCGCUGACUCAGAGCAGCCAACAUCUGCUUGAGGUCAUUCUGCCAGGUCGGUGGCACUUGACAUUGGAAUCAACUGAUGAGCUUUUCAAACCCUUCUCAUCCGGAUUCAGGAGAAUUCAGCGGACAUUUCUGCUCAGGAACAGAGAGAGCAUCACUUGAAGUUCUCGGCGACAACUCUUAGGUGGACUGAGGCCCACGCUCACCCAGGAGAUUAACCCGGCAGGCUGCAGUGAGAAGGGACAGAGCAGGCUCUGACAGGAGGUCCAAGAUGCAAGAGAAAUCCAAACAAAUCUACCUGCUUAAGGAAGACUCUCCCCAAGACUGCCACACCGAGACCUCAACGUCCUGUGGACGUCUCGGGCAAGUGUUAUCCCUGCCACUCAUGUGGCACAUGGCCAUCUAUGACUUCCUGAUGACAUUAUUCUACACCAUUUUGUUUGCAGUGCUGUUUAACAACUUUGUGUGACCAUGUCUCUCACUCCGAAUAAACCUUAACAAAGGA